CCCCCUCACUGCCUCCGCUCCUCCUAUCCUGCCCACGCCCACUGCAGGGCCUUUGCACACACUGUUUCUUCUGCCCUCCCUUCCGGCCCACUCCCUCAUAUCAUUCAGUCCUCCUUUCAGAUGUCACCUCCUAAGAUGGGCUGCCCUGACCACCUCAUCUAUAAUGGCCCCAGUGCCUGGCACAGGAUUGGCACACAGUAGAUAUUGUCAGAGAUGGAUCUGGGUUCUGUGGACAAGGCUGUGGGGGCAGGUGAAGAGCUCCCUCUUCCAGGAGGUUGUUUGGGGUUCAAGGCCUUGUUUGGGUUGUAGGCUUCUGUGCUGGUCAGCGUUGGGCCCUACAAGCGCAUGCCAUGAGGCCUGCCCAGGAUUUCCCUCAUGGCCUCACAGAAUACAUCGGCCAGAGUCAUUAAAGGGCGCCUGCAUCUGCCUUCAGAGAGAGGUUUGAAGGUAGAACUGGGGAGGGAUGCCAGGUGGGGGUUCAGGUUUCCUGUUGGGUCCUGAUAGAAUCAGGGCAGGAGAGGAAGAAGAAGAGGGAAGAGGAGGAACCCAGGCUUGGGGAGGGGUGGCAGGGCUUCACAAGCCUGGGGAAGGUGAACUAGGGAGCAGUUGGGGCCACCAUGGCCCAGAGUCUAUGCCUCCUCUUCCUUCCUGUGUUCAGAGUGUGUGUGGGAACCACAAGGGCCUUCUCAGUGUUCAUAGGGAAGCCCGGUUCACCCAUGGGUGGGCCGCAAUUUGGGUGCCACAGUGAGCCCCUAGAGACCAGCUCUCCCAGCUUCCAGGACAGGGACUAGGGGAGGCAAGAGAGGCUCUUCCUUAAAUUGUGCACCCAAGGUGCCUCAGCUGCCUUACUCUAGACUGGCCCCGUUAACUCCCCUU
rnacentral:lncRNA from 10 species